AUCUAUGGCCAUACUACCCUGAACAUGCCCAAUCUCAUCUGAUCUUGGAAGCUAAACAGGGUAGGGCCUGGUUAGUACUUGUAUGGGAGGAAGUAUAUGGAGCAGAAU
rnacentral:rRNA from 1 species